ensembl:lncRNA
GGCUAAGCUAGUGGGGGCAAAGUUUCAGUGCAUUCCGUUGGUGUAGACGGCGUGAAAACGGAAACAAGAAGUAUGCCGGCUCACUGUGCUGCAUACAAUUACACACUGCGUCGUACGAUUGAGACAAGGAAACCUGGAAUGACUUUUCAUAGGUUUCCCAGAGACUAUGGGUUGAGGAGAAAUUGGAAGUUUGUCGGCUUAGACCUGGUGUCAUUCCAUCAGUGUUAAACUUCCCGGCUCAUCUUGGAAGAGUACGUGCCAGAAAGACCACGACCAAGCAGCCUUGAGAGCUUAGGCAGCGUCUCCCUGAGACCAAAGAACUACAGAUUCUUCACAACCUGUUCAAACUCUUGGUACAGGACCUCACCACACGGGUCAAGAAGGUUUCCUUCUCCUCAUUUCUACUCUGAAGCUCACCUUCUCCUGCUCAAACUGCUGACAAAUGUUUCUGCUGCUCUAAAGUCUGCUCUCCAGAACUUCC